rnacentral:rRNA from 1 species
AUUGAACGCUGGCGGCAGGCCUAACACAUGCAAGUCGAACGAGUGGCGGACGGGUGAGUAAUGUCUGGGCAACUGCCUGAUGGAGGGGGAUAACUACUGGAAACGGUAGCUAAUACCGCAUACCCUCAGAUGUGCCCAGUGUGGAUUAGCUUGUUGGUGGGGUAACGGCUCACCAAGGGGACGAUCCCUAGCUGGUCUGAGAGGACGACGAGCAAGACGGGGACUGAGACAAGAUACAACCGCCUACGGGAGACAGCAGUGAGAAAUAUAAGACAAUGGGCGGAAGCGGGAAGAAGCCAUGCCGCGUGUAUGAGGAGGACCUUCGGGUUGUAAAGUACUUUAAGCGGGGAGGCGUUACCGGCAGAAGAAGCACCGGCUAACUCCGUGCCAGCAGCCGCGGUAAUUC